rnacentral:rRNA from 1 species
AUUGAACGCUGGCGGCAUGCCUUACACAUGCAAGUCGAACGGCAGCACGGGUGCUUGCACCUGGUGGCGAGUGGCGAACGGGUGAGUAAUAUAUCGGAACGUACCUUAUUGUGGGGGAUAACGCAGCGAAAGCUGUGCUAAUACCGCAUAAUCCCUAAGGGGGAAAGCGGGGGACCGUAAGGCCUCGCGCAAUUAGAGCGGCCGAUACCUGAUUAGCCAGUUGGUGAGGUAAAGGCUCACCAAGGCAACGAUCAGUAGCUGGUCUGAGAGGACGAUCAGCCACACUGGGACUGAGACACGGCCCAGACUCCUACGGGAGGCAGCAGUAGGGAAUUUUGGACAAUGGGGGCAACCCUGAUCCAGCAAUGCCGCGUGAGUGAAGAAGGCCUUCGGGUUGUAAAGCUCUUUUGUCAGGGAAGAAACAGCAGCUCUAACACAGUUUGCGAAUGACGGUACCUGAAGAAUAAGCACCGGCUAACUACGUGCCAGCCGCCGCGGUAA